AGUGAACGCUGGCGGUAGGCCUAACACAUGCAAGUCGAACGGCAGCACAGUAAGAGCUUGCUCUUACGGGUUGCGAGUGGCGGACGGGUGAGGAAUACAUCGGAAUCUACUUUUUCGUGGGGGAUAACGUAGGGAAACUUACGCUAAUACCGCAUACGACCUACGGGUGAAAGCAGGGGAUCUUCUGACCUUGCGCGAUUGAAUUAGCCGAUGUCGGAUUAGCUAGUGGGCUGGGGAAAGGCCCACCAAGGCGACGAUCCGUAGCUGGUCUGAGAGGAUGAUCAGCCACACUGGAACUGAGACAGCGUCAAGACUCCUAAGGGAGGCAGCAGUGGGGAAUAUUGGACAAUGGGCGCAAGCCUGGUCCAGCCAUACCGCGUGGGUGAAGAAGGCCUUCGGGUUGUAAAGACGUUUUGUUGGGAAAGAAAAGCAGCAGGUUAAUACCCCGCUGUUCUGACGGUACCCAAAGAAUAAGCACCGGCUAACUUCGUG
rnacentral:rRNA from 1 species